GUUGUGUUAUUUUGGGGGGCUGGGACACAGGUGCUGCAUGGCUGUUGUCAGCUCGUGUCGUGAGAUGUUGGGUUAAGUCCCGCAACGAGCGCAACCCUCGCCCUUAGUUGCCAGCAUUCAGUUGGGCACUCUAAGGGGACUGCCGGUGAUAAGCCGAGAGGAAGGUGGGGAUGACGUCAAGUCCUCAUGGCCCUUACGGGCUGGGCUACACACGUGCUACAAUGGUGGUGACAGUGGGCAGCGAGCCCGCGAGGUCGAGCUAAUCUCCAAAAGCCAUCUCAGUUCGGAUUGCACUCUGCAACUCGAGUGCAUGAAGUUGGAAUCGCUAGUAAU
rnacentral:rRNA from 1 species